AGUGAACGCUGGCGGUAGGCCUAACACAUGCAAGUCGAACGGCAGCACAGUAAGAGCUUGCUCUUACGAGUGGCGAGUGGCGGACGGGUGAGGAAUACAUCGGAAUCUACUUUUUCGUGGGGGAUAACGUAGGGAAACUUACGCUAAUACCGCAUACGACCUACGGGUGAAAGCAGGGGAUCUUCGGACCUUGCGCGAUUGAAUGAGCCGAUGUCGGAUUCGCUAGUUGGGGGGGUAAAGGCCCACCAAGGCGACGAACCGUAGCUGGACUGAGAGGAUGCUCAGCCACACUGGAACUGAGACACGGUCCACACUCCUACGGGAGGCAGCAGUGGGGAAUAUUGGACAAGGGGCGGAAGCCUGAUCAAGCCAUACCGCGUGGGUGAAGAAGGCCUUCGGGUUGGAAAGCCCUUUUGUUGGGAAAGAAAAGCAGCAGGUUAAUACCCCGCUGUUCUGACGGUACCCAAAGAAUAAGCACCGGCUAACUUCGUG
rnacentral:rRNA from 1 species